rnacentral:rRNA from 1 species
CUCAUUAAAUCAGUUAUAGUUUAUUUGAUGGUCUCUUUGUUCUUCUUUUUACCUACUUGGAUAACCGUGGUAAUUCUAGAGCUAAUACAUGCGCAAGGUCCCGAGCGCGGAGGGUAGGGCUUCACGGCUCUAUCCUUGCAUGCGCAGAGGGAUGUAUUUAUUAGGUUAAACAACCAGCAUUUUAACAAUCAUCUGGUGAUUCAUAGUAACUCUUUCGGAUCGCAUUCAUG